UACGGAGGGGGGCUAGCGUUGUUCGGAAUUACUGGGCGUAAAGCGCACGUAGGCGGCUUUGUAAGUUAGAGGUGAAAGCCCAGGGCUUAACCCCUGGAAUUGCCUUUAAGACUGCAUCGCUAGAAUCGUGGAGAGGUAAGUGGAAUUCCGAGUGUAGAGGUGAAAUUCGUAGAUAUUCGGAAGAACACCAGUGGCGAAGGCGACUUACUGGACACGUAUUGACGCUGAGGUGCGAAAGCGUGGGGAGCAACAGG
rnacentral:rRNA from 1 species